GUGACACCCGAACCACCAGCCGCUUGCUGUGCCUGUGCCUGCAGUUGUUGUUGCUGCUGCUGAUGUUGCGUUGGCAAUGGUGGCGGUGGCAACUGUUGUUGUUGCUGCUGCUGUGGUUGUUGCUGCUGCUGUGACUGCGGCUGCUGUUGCUGCUGCUGUUGUCCAGGCAGAUGAACCUGUUGCUGUUGCUGCUGGAGAUUGUAU
rnacentral:sRNA from 1 species